UACGGGAGGCAGCAGUGAGGAAUAUUGGUCAAUGGCCGCGAGCCUGAACCAGCCAAGUAGCGUGCAGGAUGACGGCCCUAUGGGUUGUAAACUGNUUNUAUGCCNGGAUAAAGUCGGCUAACGUGUAGCCGUUUGUAAANGGGCGCAUGAAUAAGGACCCGGCUAAUUCCGUGCCAGCAGCCGCGGUAAU
rnacentral:rRNA from 1 species